rnacentral:rRNA from 1 species
CCUACGGGAGGCAGCAGUAGGGAAUCUUUCACAAUGGGCGAAAGCCUGAUGGAGCAACGCCGCGUGCAGGAUGAAGGCCUUCGGGUUGUAAACUGCUUUUAUAAGCGAGAAAUAUGAUGGUAACUUAUGAAUAAGGAUCGGCUAACUACGUGCCAGCAGCCGCGGUCAUACGUAGGAUCCGAGCAUUAUCCGGAGUGACUGGGUGUAAAGAGUUGCGUAGGUGGCAUAAUAAGUAGCUAGUGAAAUCUGGUGGCUCAACCAUUCAGACUAUUAGCUAAACUGUUAAGCUCGAGACCGUUAGGGGUAACUGGAAUUUCUAGUGUAGGAGUGAAAUCCGUAGAUAUUAGAAGGAACACUAAUAGCGUAGGCAGGUUGCUGGGACGGUUCUGACACUAAGGCACGAAAGCGUAGGGAGCAAACGGGAUUAGAUACCCGUGUAGUC